rnacentral:rRNA from 1 species
AGGUGGUUUGUUAAGUCAGAUGUGAAAGCCCCGGGGCUCAACCUCGGAAUUGCAUUUGAAACUGGCAAACUAGAGUACUGUAGAGGGGGUAGAAUUUCAGGUGUAGCGGUGAAAUGCGUAGAGAUCUGAAGGAAUACCGGUGGCGAAGGCGGCCCCCCUGGACAGAUACUGACACUCAGAUGCGAAAGCGUGGGGAGCAAACAGGAUUAGAUACCCCUGGUAG